rnacentral:rRNA from 1 species
GACGAACGCUGGCGGCGUGCUUAACACAUGCAAGUCGAACGGAAAGGCCCUGCUUGCAGUGUACUCGAGUGGCGAACGGGUGAGUAACACGUGGGUGAUCUGCCCUGCACUUCGGCAUAAGCCUGGUAAACUGGGUCUAAUACCGGACAGGAGCCAUUUUUAGCGGGAUGGUUGGAAAGUUUUUUCGGUGUAGGAUGAGCUCGCGGGCUAUCAGCUUGUUGGUGCGGUAAUGGGCUACCAAGGCGGCGACGGGUAGCCGGCCUGAGAGGGUGGACGGCCAUAUUGGGACUGAGAUACGGCCCAGACUCCUACGGGAGGCAGCAGUGGGGAAGAUUGAACAAUGGGCGCAGGCCUGAUGCAGAGGGGCCGCGUGGGGGAUGACGGCCUUCGGGUUGAAAACUCCUUUCGCUAGGGACGAAGCUUUUUGUGACGGUACCUAGAUAAGAAGCACCGGCUAACUACGUG